CCUACGGGUGGCAGCAGUGGGGAAUCUUGCGCAAUGGGGGAAACCCUGACGCAGCGACACCGCGUGCGGGAUGAAGGCCUUCGGGUUGUAAACCGCUUUCAGCAGGGACGAAAUUGACGGUACCUGCAGAAGAAGGCCCGGCCAACUACGUGCCAGCAGCCGCGGUAAUACGUAGGGGCCAAGCGUUGUCCGGAUUUAUUGGGCGUAAAGAGCUCGUAGGCGGUUCGGUAAGUCGGAUGUGAAAUCUCCACGCUCAACGUGGAGGGGCCAUUCGAAACUGCCGUGACUCGAGUCUGGUAGGGGAGUGUGGAAUUCCCGGUGUAGCGGUGAAAUGCGCAGAUAUCGGGAGGAACACCAGUAGCGAAGGCGGCACUCUGGGCCAGUACUGACGCUGAGGAGCGAAAGCGUGGGGAGCGAACAGGAUUAGAUACCCUUGUAGUC
rnacentral:rRNA from 1 species